AACGUAAAGGAGGGAAUUCUUUUCUAGGUCUUAUGUCUCCCACAAAAUGGAGAAUCAUUCCUAUUAGAGGAAAAAAAUGUAAAAACAACUUCUAGGUCUUCUUUACUGCGAUAGUGUAAUGUGAGCAUCAACUUAAAUUGCAUAACUGAAAGCAUGGCCACAGUUGAGCAUUUUCCAGGUGUCACAAAGUUGCUUUCCAGGCUUAAAGUCUUGUCCGUGAAUAAAUUGUUAAUUAAUGCCAUGGACGACUGUAUUUGCAAUUCUGAAGAUAUCUAUACAUGGUUUUAGGAAUCAGCAUUCAAAACAAAGAAAAACAUGGUUGUAUUGCUUGACCGAACAAAGAAAAACAUGGUUGUAUUGCUUGACCGAAAGUGGAUAGAACGAGGAGAUAGAUUUUUCCUUCACUGGAGUAAUACUUGGCUAAUAAAAAUUGCCCUAAUAGAAAGCUAGGGGGUGGAGCUGUGCACGAGAGAGUAAUAGUGAAAAAUGAUUUAGGGUUUGAUAAAUAAAUAGUUAAAAAUAAAAUGGUUAAAAAUUAAAAGAGUAAUUUUAUCAUUAAAAAAAUUGUGAGGAGGUGGAGGGAGAAGGGGUAGUGGUGGAGGAAGUAACACCCUAAACAAAAUGGACUAAUGUUUUAAUACAGGUCCAAUU
rnacentral:lncRNA from 1 species